rnacentral:misc_RNA from 1 species
GUCGUUAGGACUUAACGGAAAGUAAGUGUGCUAUGUUCUCUAAUCAGCUAGUCUAUGUUUCAACGAUUACUAAAUGAAGUUGCAAGCUUACCGUUUCCUCUCUUAAAUAUAUGUAUGAACCUCUUCAUAUGUUUCUGUUUUUGUUCUUUCAUAAUUCUGUGCUGAGAUUUGCUUAUUUACAAUUGUAAUUAACCAUAGGAUUGUGGCAAUGUUUGGAUGGCAUUUCAUUAAUGUUGUUCUUACUUCACUUGCUGUUUUGGCAUUUCCUGAAUACUAAAUAUAAAGGGCAAUUAGAGAACAAAAUUUAGUUAUCAAGUUACUGGCUUACUGGCAAUGGCAACUGGUAGCAUUCAUGGCAACAGUGCGUGGUGUCAAUUGUGGCAGUGUUGAUAAUGGUGUAGUGGUCUUACCGGCCUCUUUGUCUGUUUUCUGCUUCAAUUCUUUGUCUUUGUAUAUGCCCAUUCAUUUUUGUGAUGUGUGGUUUAAUCUCUUUCUUUCUCUUUCUCUGUGUGUGUGUGUGUGUG